UUUUUUCAACCAGAUUCAAAUUAUAAGUCAACAUAUCAUUCAAAAAUUUUUAUCAGAUCCUAAAAUUUUCAUUCCCGCCCCCAAAUCCCUCCAUGAAUUUCAUCUUCUAUAUUCAGUUAUACUUCAUCUUCUUCAUAUCCCCUCUACUUCAAGUUUCUCACACUUAGAGACAAUGUCGCCAUAAACUCAUUUUAGCAAAAGAAACCUUCGAUUUGAAAAACUCUAAGGUCUGGUGUCCAAUUCACUUGUUGGGCGCAGCAGCAACUUUGUCUACAGUUUGACAUUUGUGCGUCCUCUUUAUUUCCAAAUGUUGUUGAACCUUACAUUUGAAGUGGCGCAAAUGGACAUAGAACAAGAACAAAGUUUGUGACUUGCUUCCCACGACAAUUGGUAGGGCUACGGCUUAUACUUCACUGCGGUAUUAUAUAUGGAGCGAGAACAUUUUACUGCCUCACAUUAGGGAGUCCAGAUCCAGAUUUCUCCCAACUAGAGAUGAAUAAGCUACUGCGAGCGCAAGGUCAGCAUGAAAUGGCAAUUAGUUUGCAAAACAUAUAUAUGAAAGUUACAAGGUUAAUGGGGAAGCAGCUGACGUAUAUUCUGUAGUUGUCAAGUGGCUUGCUGAAACACCUUCUAGCAAGUUAGUUAUAGAGUAUACUUCUCCUACUUUCUGUUUUCUAUUUUUUUAGAUAACCAGUGAAUCAACCUGUGAUGGUGUUAUAUAUACUUCUUUGAUAAAUAAUUUAGUUCAGAAGUGGUGUUAUAUAGCUUCUGUUUUUUGCAGAUGGUGAAAGAAGAAACCUGGAAUGGUUUUGUUGCAGAUAUGUUAUUAUUUGUUCAUUAUUACACAGGACCUGUGAAAUUAGGGCAUAGGUGAACAAAACCAAAGUAACUAGAUGUUGGUACAAAGUUCAAGAUUUAUUUAGAACACAAAGUGGCUUUUUAUAGUCUUUUCGUUAUUUGUCACUAUCUUUCUUGGUUACAGUAUUGGGUCGUCGUGUGUUGUAUUUACCUUGAAGUUAUUAUAGAAUAUAGAAACGGCUUCUUUAUAGGCUUUUCUUUGUUUGUCAUUAGACCGCGGGGAGUGGCGGCGUUGUUUGGGUGGGGGAAGCCAGCCAACGCUGGCUAAGCCACUCCGGGCCAGCGUUGGUGUCGGCGUUGCCCUUUUGGCGUCGCUGUGGAGCCUGGCGCGGGGCGGGUGGUGGGGUGAUGUGGCUAGCCAUGAUUGGACCUUCAUUUUUCUGUUGUUCAUAUGCAUGUAGGUAUCUCAUAGACCAUGACAAAAAUAAGGCUCAAGAAUUGAGACAGGUUAAAUUCAAUCGUUAUUUUCAUUUGUCUUGUGUUUUAAUUAUCGGUCAUUUUUCAACUUCUGCUUCAAUUAUUGGUGUUAUCUGCAAUAAUGUUCCUCAGAAUUGUGAAAGCUUAGGUACAUUGGCAUUUAAAAUUAGGCUUGAAGCAUUUAUUAAUACAUUGAUGCUUCCUAUUAAAAAUAGGUUGUUAACUAAUUUUGUCUUAUGUUUUUAUAGGUUAUAGCUGCUAUAGUAGCCAGUGGCUAGUGGCUGAGAAUGCUCUUUUGAUGGUGUACGAAAUUGAGCAACACAUCGAGGAUGCAAGUAGAGCGGUUGCAGAUCGAAUGUAUAAAAGAAAGGGCAAUGAUAUCAUCCUAUUGCCCUACAAUCCCGAGUUUGAUUUUACUUUUAAAUAAGUAUCUCUUAAGACCUAUUAUCUUAAUUUGUUUUGAUUGAAUUUUGGAUUUUGAAGAAACCAUUGGGUGUUGGCAGUACUAAACCUGAAAACAACUACUUGCUAUUAUCUUGAUUCCUUACGGCCUAGAAGUGUCGAUGAGCAGUUGAGGCAAAUUAUUGAUACGGCAAUGGUCGUGUAUGCUUCAGAAAGUGGUGCCAACAUAAGGGUUAAACUCGUAUGGAUUAACGCUAGGUGUCCACGUCAGCCAGGAGGUACUGAAUGCGGCUACUAUGUGAUGAAGUUCAUGAAGGAGAUAGCUUACGAAGGAGUUGAAAUACUUGACAAUGAUAAUGUUGGGAAAGGAGUAGAAGAAUACUCGGCUGCGGAUAUGGAUGGCAUUCGUGAAGAUUGGUUGACUUAUGCGGUUAACUCUAUUUUUAAGUUAUAAAUCGUAUUUUAGGUGUUAAUAAUGUAAUGACAAACAAUUCUUUUUUUGUUAACGUUAAAAUAUUUGUAGUAUACUUGACAAAUGAUUAUGUAAUGGAUUGUUUUGGUAUAUA